rnacentral:tRNA from 1 species
GGAUCUUUAGCUCAGUUGGUUAGAGCGUUCGCUUCACACGCGAGAGGUCGCUGGUUCGAGUCCAGUAAGAUCCACCC